CAAAGUGUUAGGGAUGCUGCUCUUUCAGAGCGCGGCUACCGCGGACGGUCAGGGAGCAGACCGCUGGCUUACCGGGAACACUAACCAACGCUGAGGCGGGGGAAGCUCCACGCACGGCGGCAGCUGAGCGGAGGAUUUACCUGACGCUCCUCACGGUGCAUUUACGGACCUUUUUCUUAUCCACCUCGGGGAAUUAGACCAAGUGUUGUGGGACUGGAGGAAUUCCAAGACUCUUCGCUAACUGUCUGUAAUCUCGGGACCCCCGUGCAUUCAUUUCUUCAACAUCUUCUCCGAAAUGCAAACGUCUAGGAAACCCUAGAAUAUGGAGGGCACGAGGACAAAGAACUAAAGCUGGCCGAGGCGUCUCAGUAUCAGCUGUAUCAGUGAUGUCAGGCAAACAAACUAUCAUCCCAUUCAAAGUUGUUCCAAACUCCACAGUUUAUGCAGCACGGUGAGGAGUGUCACUACCCCCAACUUCAGUGCAUCUCCUAAAGGUGUCCAUCUAUGAACCUGUGAGGUCAUAGCCAUCUAACAGCAGCAUCAGCACCAGAGGAGAGUUUACCAGCAGUGGGACCAUGGACCUUAGAUUUAGACGUCUGUCGCCUCUCACCAGGGCAGCUCUUCAUCUCCUGCUGCUGGCCAGACUGGUGCUUCCUUCUCACACAGAGAGCACGCCCAGCUUCAUCAAGUCCCCCGAGGAUCAAACGGGGAUUUCGGGAGGAGUGGCGUCGUUCGUAUGCCAGGCGGUCGGUGAGCCCAAGCCUCGCAUUACCUGGAUGAAAAAGGGAAAGAAAGUCAGCUCCCAGCGCUU